UUAAGCGACUAAGCGUACACGGUGGAUGCCCGGCAGUCAGAGGCGAUGAAGGACGCUAAUCUGCGAUAAGCGUCGGUAAGGUGAUAUGAACCGUUAUAACCGGCGAUUUCCGAAUGGGGAAACCCAGUGUGAUUCGUCACACUAUCAUUAACUGAAUCCAUAGGUUAAUGAGGCGAACCGGGGGAACUGAAACAUCUAAGUACCCCGAGGAAAAGAAAUCAACCGAGAUUCCCCAGUAGCGGCGAGCGAACGGGAGCAGCCCAGAGCCUGAAUCAGUGUGUGUUAGUGGAAGCGUCUGGAAAGGCGCGCGAUACAGGUGACAGCCCCGUACACAAAAAUGCACAUACUGUGAGCUCGAUGAGUAGGGCGGGACACGUGGUAUCCUGUCUGAAUAUGGGGGGACCAUCCUCCAAGGCUAAAUACUCCUGACUGACCGAUAGUGAACCAGUACCGUGAGGGAAAGGCGAAAAGAACCCCGGCGAGGGGAGUGAAAAAGAACCUGAAACCGUGUACGUACAAGCAGUGGGAGCACGCUUAGGCGUGUGACUGCGUACCUUUUGUAUAAUGGGUCAGCGACUUAUAUUCUGUAGCAAGGUUAACCGAAUAGGGGAGCCGAAGGGAAACCGAGUCUUAACUGGGCGUUAAGUUGCAGGGUAUAGACCCGAAACCCGGUGAUCUAGCCAUGGGCAGGUUGAAGGUUGGGUAACACUAACUGGAGGACCGAACCGACUAAUGUUGAAAAAUUAGCGGAUGACUUGUGGCUGGGGGUGAAAGGCCAAUCAAACCGGGAGAUAGCUGGUUCUCCCCGAAAGCUAUUUAGGUAGCGCCUCGUGAAUUCAUCUCCGGGGGUAGAGCACUGUUUCGGCAAGGGGGUCAUCCCGACUUACCAACCCGAUGCAAACUGCGAAUACCGGAGAAUGUUAUCACGGGAGACACACGGCGGGUGCUAACGUCCGUCGUGAAGAGGGAAACAACCCAGACCGCCAGCUAAGGUCCCAAAGUCAUGGUUAAGUGGGAAACGAUGUGGGAAGGCCCAGACAGCCAGGAUGUUGGCUUAGAAGCAGCCAUCAUUUAAAGAAAGCGUAAUAGCUCACUGGUCGAGUCGGCCUGCGCGGAAGAUGUAACGGGGCUAAACCAUGCACCGAAGCUGCGGCAGCGACGCUUAUGCGUUGUUGGGUAGGGGAGCGUUCUGUAAGCCUGCGAAGGUGUGCUGUGAGGCAUGCUGGAGGUAUCAGAAGUGCGAAUGCUGACAUAAGUAACGAUAAAGCGGGUGAAAAGCCCGCUCGCCGGAAGACCAAGGGUUCCUGUCCAACGUUAAUCGGGGCAGGGUGAGUCGACCCCUAAGGCGAGGCCGAAAGGCGUAGUCGAUGGGAAACAGGUUAAUAUUCCUGUACUUGGUGUUACUGCGAAGGGGGGACGGAGAAGGCUAUGUUGGCCGGGCGACGGUUGUCCCGGUUUAAGCGUGUAGGCUGUUUUCCAGGCAAAUCCGGAAAACUAAGGCUGAGGCGUGAUGACGAGGCACUACGGUGCUGAAGCAACAAAUGCCCUGCUUCCAGGAAAAGCCUCUAAGCAUCAGGUAACAUCAAAUCGUACCCCAAACCGACACAGGUGGUCAGGUAGAGAAUACCAAGGCGCUUGAGAGAACUCGGGUGAAGGAACUAGGCAAAAUGGUGCCGUAACUUCGGGAGAAGGCACGCUGAUAUGUAGGUGAAGUCCCUCGCGGAUGGAGCUGAAAUCAGUCGAAGAUACCAGCUGGCUGCAACUGUUUAUUAAAAACACAGCACUGUGCAAACACGAAAGUGGACGUAUACGGUGUGACGCCUGCCCGGUGCCGGAAGGUUAAUUGAUGGGGUCAGCGCAAGCGAAGCUCUUGAUCGAAGCCCCGGUAAACGGCGGCCGUAACUAUAACGGUCCUAAGGUAGCGAAAUUCCUUGUCGGGUAAGUUCCGACCUGCACGAAUGGCGUAAUGAUGGCCAGGCUGUCUCCACCCGAGACUCAGUGAAAUUGAACUCGCUGUGAAGAUGCAGUGUACCCGCGGCAAGACGGAAAGACCCCGUGAACCUUCUAUAGCUUGACACUGAACAUUGAGCCUUGAUGUGUAGGAUAGGUGGGAGGCUUUGAAGUGUGGACGCCAGUCUGCAUGGAGCCGACCUUGAAAUACCACCCUUUAAUGUUUGAUGUUCUAACGUGGACCCGUAAUCCGGGUUGCGGACAGUGUCUGGUGGGUAGUUUGACUGGGGCGGUCUCCUCCUAAAGAGUAACGGAGGAGCACGAAGGUUGGCUAAUCCUGGUCGGACAUCAGGAGGUUAGUGCAAUGGCAUAAGCCAGCUUGACUGCGAGCGUGACGGCGCGAGCAGGUGCGAAAGCAGGUCAUAGUGAUCCGGUGGUUCUGAAUGGAAGGGCCAUCGCUCAACGGAUAAAAGGUACUCCGGGGAUAACAGGCUGAUACCGCCCAAGAGUUCAUAUCGACGGCGGUGUUUGGCACCUCGAUGUCGGCUCAUCACAUCCGGGGCUGAAGUAGGUCCCAAGGGUAUGGCUGUUCGCCAUUUAAAGUGGUACGCGAGCUGGGUUUAGAACGUCGUGAGACAGUUCGGUCCCUAUCGCCGUGGGCGCUGGAGAACUGAGGGGCUGCUCCUAGUACGAGAGGACCGGAGUGGACGCAUCACUGGUGUUCGGGUUGUCAUGCCAAUGGCACUGCCCGGUAGCUAAAUGCGGAAGAGAUAAGUGCUGAAAGCAUCUAAGCACGAAACUUGCCCCGAGAUGAGUUCUCCCUGACUCCUUGAGAGUCCUGAAGGAACGUUGAAGACGACGACGUUGAUAGGCCGGGUGUGUAAGCGCAGCGAUGCGUUGAGCUAACCGGUACUAAUGAACCGUGAGGCUUAACCU
rnacentral:rRNA from 1 species